ensembl:lincRNA
CAGGCUGCUGGUAUGUUUCAGCAUUGACAGGAGCAAUUGCCUUUUUUUCAGGUUUCAUUUCAACCCCAUGUUUUGGGAACUGUUUGGACCAGACUAAUCAGCUCUAAAUUCUGGAAUCUUCCACCUUCUUUAUCUUCAAAGGGAUGGUUAUAUAUUCUGGCUAAGUUCCAGAAUCCACAGUUCUACUGGCUGUUGAGAAUCGCGGUCAGCAAAUCAAGAUGGUGUAUAAAAUAACAAGUGACCAGCAAGAAGACAUUAUAUAGCAAACACAGAAACUGCUAUAUAAAGAUUGCUGAAUGUGUUUCAGUUUUGGAAGACAUCUAUAUGAAGUUCAGAGAAGGUACUUGUCUUGGGAAUAGAAUUAGUUGGGUUGCUUUCCAGCACAUGAAACCAGAAGAAAUUUGCUUUAAAGGUCAUGAAACCUGAUACUAAAUACUCUAAAUAGAAAAAAAAACAUUGUCAUGAUGAAAGCAGGUUAGACUCA